rnacentral:rRNA from 1 species
GACGAACGCUGGCGGCGUGCUUAACACAUGCAAGUCGAACGGAAAGGCCCUGCUUUUGUGGGGUGCUCGAGUGGCGAACGGGUGAGUAACACGUGAGUAACCUGCCCUUGACUUUGGGAUAACUUCAGGAAACUGGGGCUAAUACCGGAUAGGAGCUCCUGCUGCAUGGUGGGGGUUGGAAAGUUUCGGCGGUUGGGGAUGGACUCGCGGCUUAUCAGCUUGUUGGUGGGGUAGUGGCUUACCAAGGCUUUGACGGGUAGCCGGCCUGAGAGGGUGACCGGCCACAUGGGUGCGGGGAUGCGGCCACGGCGCAGACGGGAGGGGGGGGGGUGGAAUGAGGCCGGAGGGGCGGAGGCGGGCGGCAGCGGGGGCGGGGGGGGUGAGCGGGCUGUGGGGUUGUACCACGAGGGGGGCGGUGAGGAAGGGGGAGGGGCGGGAAGGGAAAAAGAAGCGUCGGAAAACGUCGUGCAAGGGGCUGGGGGAGUAGUAGAAGAGAACUCUUUUCAAC